rnacentral:tRNA from 1 species
GAGUUGUAGUUCAGCUGGUUAGAACGCCUGCCUGUCACGCAGGAGGCCGCGGGUUCGAGUCCCGUCAACUCC